rnacentral:lncRNA from 1 species
CCCCAUUGAAGCCCCCCGAGGCCAGGAAGAGCUACCUGCUGGUGCUAUUGGUCCCUCUUGGUGCCUUCCUGCUGGGAGGCCUCCUGUUCUUGUGGCAUGGACGUGGCGGAUGUCCUCGGAAGCAGCACCAGGAUCUGCCCCUGGAGCCCACGGAGAACGAAGAGGAGUGCCCUACCUUCCCCACCCAAGAGACCCUGUUGGGGCAGCAGGCGGGCCUGCAAGAGAAGGACGGCCGCCUUGCCCAGCAGGAGCAGGUCUGACCAGGAAGCCGUGGGGAUGCGAGGCAAGCUGCACAGCCGGGCUGCCCAGGGGCCUUCUCCCCAUUGGACAAGGGCAGCCCUGCGGAGGCCUGGGCUCUGCCACGCAGGUGCCCCUUCCGGCGGCUUCUUUGCCGUUCGGGGGAACUGCGAUCCCAGCAGGCUGAGAGUCGAGUCAAGCCGCCUCCACUUUGGCUAAGAACCUGGCACGGUGUGGGUCUCAGCCAGGGGAGACCCCCACCCCUCUCCUCCCUCGCCCAGAUCUGCCCUGGAGGACGAGGCAAUGGGUGGGCUCUGCGGGGCUCCAAUGGGAACUGAAAGCCAAGAGCCACGAAGCCAAUGAUUUCAUGGGAAGGCAACUCCCAGCAGCCCGUGGGGGUCUCCAGAGCAGCGACUGGUCCUGCUGGCCGGGGCCUUUGGUGGCAGCCAGCUCUGCCCUCCUGGCAUGGUCCGGGUUAGAGGUGGCAGCUGUGAGGGAGGCCUCCGUCCUCCCGUCCACCCCUGGGCCGGCCGGCUGCAUCUUGGAACAGCCGGGACGGAGCCCCUUUAUUCUCCCAUCUGUGUGUUUCUCGGACCGCAGCUCCGUGUUGAGCUCUUAUAAAUCCGACCUUUGGAAAAGCA